UUGUCAAUGGUCCACAAAUGCCAUGGGAU
rnacentral:piRNA from 1 species